rnacentral:sRNA from 1 species
AAUAAAUUUCAUAACUGGAGAAGAAGAUAAGAGUGUGGCACAGAGCUUUAUCCUCUCUCAGAGUUUCUUCUCCUCUGUGAAUCUCCGACAAUGGCGAUAGCUAUGGCGGUUGUUUCUUUCCCAUCUCUGCUCAACAAAACAACCUUAUCCUCUUCACUCUUCACUCCCACUUUCCUCCCGGCGAAAUCCUCUUCACUUCUCAUCAAAUCAUCACCAAAAACCAGAUUCGUGGUUUCAUCAUCCAUGGAAGCUGGAAUCGGAGUAAUGGGGUCAAAACUCGGGAUGAUGAGUUUCUUCGAAGAAGACGGCACAGUAGUUCCAGUAACAGUCGUCGGAUUCCGCGAAGGUAACAUCGUAACCCAAAUCAAAACCCUAGCCACAGACGGUUACGACGCGGUUCAAAUCGGUUACCGUCGUGUACGCGACAAAAAGCUAACUAAACCGGAAACCGGUCAUCUCCAAAAAGCCGGUACAAUCCCAAUGAGACAUCUCCAAGAGUUCAGAUUAACAAACAUCGAAGGAUUCGAACCGAACCAGAAGCUUGUGUUCGAUGAGAUAUUCAAAGAAGGUGAUCUCGUUGAUGUAGCUGGAACCACAAUUGGUAAAGGGUUUCAAGGAGGAAUCAAAAGGCAUCAUUUCAAGAGAGGUCAGAUGACUCAUGGUUCCAAGAGUCAUCGAGCUUUGGGUUCGAUUGGUGCUGGUACUACUCCGGGAAGAGUUUAUAAAGGGAAGAAGAUGCCUGGAAGAAUGGGAGGGACGAGGACAAAGAUUAGGAAGCUUAAGAUUGUUAAAGUUGAUAAGGAGCUUAAUGUUGUCAUGAUCAAAGGUGCUUUGCCUGGUAAGCCUGGGAAUCUUCUUCGUAUUACUCCCGCUAAAAUCGUCGGAGUUAACAUUCCCAAGAACUAGUAGAGAAGAGACUCUGUUUUGUUUUGUAAUGUUGACUUGUGUUUAUCCAUUCCUUGAAAAUUUGUAUCGAAUUGCUAAAUCACAGUUUCUUUCUUAGAAUUGGAGUUUUUGUAUAAGUCGGAAGUAUUUCUAUGCUAAUGUUCU